rnacentral:tRNA from 1 species
GCCGAAGUGGCGGAAUUGGUAGACGCGCUAGGUUCAGGGUCUAGUGGGUGUAUGCCCGUCAGGGUUCGAGUCCCUGCUUCGGCACCA